GUAUUAGGUUGGUGCAAAGGUAAUUGCAGUUUUUGCCAUUGAAGCUAGUUGCAAAAACUGCAAUAUCUUUUUCACCAACCUAAUA
rnacentral:miRNA from 1 species